CCCUCUCCUAUCACCGCCGGUUCCAUCGACGGACCAGUGUACAAAAGCCAUCCUGGACGCCACCGCCAUCACGUCCCUUCAAUCCCCUCUCCCUCUCUAUGAUACUAUGGAGCCAUUAAUGCUCUGCAAACUAGCCUGUUCAACCUCCAAACAGGGAAAACGUGAGAAUCUUGCGAAUACAAGGACGAUUAAAUGGAUAAAAAAAACCUCACCCCUACCUUCAGAGCUCGGUUUGCUGAAAAAUCUUUCUUAUUUUCGGUUUCAACGGUCUCAACCUUUCAAAUCAUCUCUGAAAAAGUUCUCGGUUGAGCAAGGACCACUUCAAGCGGAUUCGGAGACUCGACAACUAUAAUAGCCUCAGUUCGCUGUCCCGGAAAAGGUUAGUGGUCGCCCUUGCUUUACUUUUGUUUUCAGUGGUUAGGAGUAUAUAUCGAUGUAGUUGUUAAAUAAUUCUUCACAGUUUUGCCUAUUUGAGCUUGGUUUGUUGCUGUGUGUCUGAAUCCGCAUAUAAAAAAUAGCUAAGAAUACUUUAGGGAACUAUUGAUUAAUUGGCAGAAUAUGUGGACGACCAGGUUGCUUGUUUGGAUUUUUUAUCUUUAAUACUGGUACAAAGGUUGAUUUUACAUAACCCUUAGAACAUCGAAUAUGUUCAUGUCAUGCGUUUAGGGCUGUUCUCUGACCUGUUUCUUGUUGAGUUUGAGGCCUAAGUGAAUGUGGAAAUUCCUCCUUAAAUCAAUAACUGUUGGAAUUCGAAUGUAAUUGGCCGCACUUUUUCGCUUGUUAUAAGAUUUCGUUUCUUUAGUAAGCCACCCUCGCCUUUUCUUUCGUUUUAAAAGUCACAGAGUUAAAUGUAGUUGUUCGAUGGUUCUUGUUGCUUGUUCCCCUUGAAUCUUUUGCUGCUGUGUUUUGUCCUAAGUCCUUGUAAAAAAUCAUUAACAGGGAUUAAUAGCAGUUAGGAGUAAUAACGACUUAAUUUGUCGACUAUGUGAAUAAUUGCAUCGCAACUAAAUUUCUGUUCGGUACGCUCAUCACAAUCAGUGUGUUUACCAUUCCAUUCUGAAAAGCAGCAUGUAAAGGGCUAAUACAAACUAAGGGCGUUUAGGAAGGAAACCACUGACUUAUAUAAAUUUGCUUUAGUUGAAACUUGCGGUUGUUGAAGUAACUUUAUCGCUUGUGUAUAUCUUCUUUCUUUAAAUACUCUUAAAGACUGUUUUGCCAUGACUCCGUGUAGAAACCAAAUAUGUGAAUAUAUGAUGAUAUCAUAUAGCUAAAAAUAAAAAGAAAAAAAAACGUUAUCAUUUUGAUUAAAGAAAAAAAAACUGCUAUUUUGAUUAAAAGAAAAAAGGUUACUAUUUUGAUUAGAAAAAAGAGUUACUAUUUUGAGUAGAGAAAAGUUACUGUUUUGAUUAAAGAAAAGGUUACUGUUUUGACUAAAGAAAAGUAACUUUUUUAUUAGAGAGAAAAAGAAAAAAAAACCGGGGGUUACUAUUUUGAUUAGACCAAAAAAAAAAAAAAAGUUACUUGUCUUGAUUAAAGGAAAAGUUACCGAUUCGUGAAAAUUAAAUUCGUCAAAUAUGUGUUUAGCUUAGUCGCUUGGCUAAUUUUCUGUUUUAGUUAUUUGUUAAGAUCUGGGAUGUUCCUACGUUUAGCGUAAAUCACUACGACUGAUUGAAGCUAUGAAUUUAAGAAUAAGAGGAAAUCCACCGAUUUGUGAGAAUAUGAUGGGAGCUUAUAUGUAUAUUUAGUAUUUGUUUGUUUUCUCGUAUGUGCGAAUAAAUGUCUAAAGAGUCCUGCUUCUUUUCUCCAAGUAUUUAUUAUGUGUCAUGUUAAAGUGACGGGGAAAAUAUGUUUGAAUGUACUGUGAACUGGAAUGCGCGUAUAUUUAGAACUUUCUUCUCUCGUGAUGCUAGUUGAUAGAGUUUAGACCACUGUUAAACUUAUUAAGAUGCUAUGUCACUGUCCUUAAAUAUAAAACUGGUUGAAAUGUUCCUUUUAUGGGGGCUGUUGUUUGUCGCGAUUACGUGCUCGAGAUUUUAUUUCGGAUCCUGAGUAUUUAGGCCUCAGAGAUUGGGAAAUGACGUUAUCUUGUUCUACUAGAAAUUCUGCUUCCAUUCUACUAGAAAAAAAAAAUAUACUUAGUUUAAUGCUGAAUCCAUGAAACUACUGAAGACAUGUUCAUUGUUAUUAGUGGUUUUUCUCACUUCAUCUUGACAGAAGGUUUAAAUCAACUAAGUAGCUAUGUUUUUUUUCUAUAAGAAUUCAUGUUAGGUGAUUAAGUAAACCUAUUAAGUUUGUUGUAAAUAUGGAAGCUUUCUCAUUGUUUAAGAAUUACGGCUACGACAUUUUGAAAUGUUUGAGUAAACUUAAGUCAUCUCUAUAAAUACAGAUUCAGUUGUUUUGUUCAUCUUAUACCAUGUUACACUGUUGCAAAACGUAGAAUUUAAGUUUUAACAUUUUAUAUGAAAUUUAAACCGGUUCUGCUUGUUACAUUUGUUUUAAAAUCCUCUCUGCCGGAAUAUACCAUGGUAUGAUUAGGAGUUCACUUGGGGAAUCCCAAAAUCUACAAAGAAACACGUUGAGGCUAAGUUCAUUUGUGGUCUUUUCAACAUGGUUGUAACUAGCUAAGUUAUCAUGCUAUAAAUCUUAAAAGUGCUCUUAACUUAAUUUACCUAUAGAAGAAGAUAGCAAAGGACUGGCAUGUUUAGUAACAUGGGAUCAGAUAAAGAAGCAGUAGGUAGUUAGCUGAACCUUAUUUCAUCUUGUGUCAAAUGUGCCUUUAGUUUCAAUUACCAAUUUCAAAUAAAAAAAAAAUGUGUCCUUUUAGUUUGACUAUUUGCUGGAGUAAUUUUCCUUGAGCUUAACUAGACUUUUUAAUGUACAGGGUGUUGCUAGGUAAGAACCUAAAUUAUUUGUUUGCUCUUCAUUUUUUUUUUUUUUUUUUAGAAAUAAUCAUGGAAAAGAAAACAUAAGUAUCAGUUUGCCUUGUGACUAAGUUCACAGAAACUUGCGCUUAAUUAGUUAUUGUUGUAUUCUUUCAAGUUUGGAAACAAAUAUGGAUCUUUGGAUGCAAAGCAUGAAUAAUCUUCUCUUAGCUUUGCAUUACUUGGAAUAAAAAAUAAUAAUAAAAAAAAAAUGUAAACAUUCUGUCGGGUUUGGGAUUGAGACUGUUUUAGAAAUCAUGCCUAUAGGGGCUGCAUCUUCCAUUUAAAAUAGUUGUUUUGAAUGUGUUGUUAUCCAAACUAGCGAAUAAGGCGUCUGAUUUGUUGAAGGGGUGUUUGAUCUCUCAUUUCACUUGGUUAUAUCUUUGGAAUUAAGCAAAUAGGUGGGUGUGUAAGCUAAUAAGAACCCGCUAUUUGAGGAACACUUGUUUCCUCUAUAUGUUGCAUAAGACUUUGUUUGUUUGAGUAUUGUUGUGAUUUGAGUAUGAAAAGAUAAUGAAAUAUUUGUAGAACCCCGUCCUGUUAUUGCUAUCAGUGUCUAGUAGUAUGGUUACAUACAUGUUAAUAAUUUGUGGUAGAUAAUUUUUUUAAAAGAAUGAAGAAACCACAACCCCAAAGGUUUUAGGAGUGAGUUGAGACUGCUGAAUAGUUCAAUGGCUGCAACAUCAUGAAGUGCAUUGCAUUUGUUUGGCUAUGUUCUUCUUUCUUGACUUGUUCUCUCUGAGUCUAGUGAAACCUGUUCUGAUAUAUGUUUGCUAUGGGAGAACUUUGAUGAUAAUCUACAAUGAAACCAGUUUGGUUUUCUUUUCUGAUAGUUAAGCCUACCAAAAUAUUAAGAAUUUGCUUGAUAUGCUAGUCUAUAUAAGUGGUGAGUGUAAACAAUUUCACCAUGCUUUCCUUAAUAAUCAUGGGUUCUCUUGGCCAAUUUCUUGAACUUUUUUUUUGCUAGUUCUGUGUGUUUACUAGACAACUCUAAUCCUUAUCCUUUUUUUUUUUUUCAUGAGGAACCUUGAGAGCAUUUGGAGUUAUGGUAACUCCGGACUCUACCCAGAUCAGAGAAGAAACCAGUAGCAGCCUCUUUUGCUCGUGUUUAGCGUCCCUCGUUCGUGUCAAGCGUCCCUGUCAUCCUCCUUCUCUUCAAACUUUAUGUCUUUGCGUUAGCAUAAAUAUACAUGUUUAUAUUUUUGACUAACACUUUGUAUGGAUUGUAUUUGUAGCGUAUUUGUUUAUUGCUUGUGAACGAACCGGUGGAAAAAUGGCUGAGCAGAACAACGAAUUUAGUCCUUA